rnacentral:rRNA from 1 species
AGCGAACGCUCGCGGCAGGCCUAACACAUGCAAGUCGAACGAACCUUUCGGGGUUAGUGGCGGACGGGUGAGUAACACGUGGGAACGUGCCUUUAGGUUCGGAAUAACUCAGGGAAACUUGUGCUAAUACCGAAUGUGCCCUUCGGGGGAAAGAUUUAUCGCCUUUAGAGCGGCCCGCGUCUGAUUAGCUAGUUGGUUGAGGUAAUGGCUCACCAAGGCGACGAUCAGUAGCUGGUCUGAGAGGAUGAUCAGCCACAUUGGGACUGAGACACGGCCCAAACUCCUACGGGAGGCAGCAGUGGGGAAUCUUGCGCAAUGGGCGAAAGCCUGACGCAGCCAUGCCGCGUGAAUGAUGAAGGUCUUAGGAUUGUAAAAUUCUUUCACCGGGGACGAUAAUGACGGUACCCGGAGAAGAAGCCCCGGCUAACUUCGUG